rnacentral:lncRNA from 1 species
AUGACCUUGGUGAGGAACCAGCAGACAGGUGUCGGAGUAAAUGUGACAGAUGGGCCAAAAACAGCUCCUGGUGUCAGAUUUUCCAGAACAAAUCUGGAGCUUCUUUGACAGAGGACAUGCAACAAGCUGAGCAUUCCAGAAUAUAUAAUGCUCUUAUAAAAAUAUCUAUUUUCUGGUAUCUUCAAUCUCUAAUACUGCCAAAAUGAUUUUUUUUUUUUUUUUUUCUGCAGAAAAAGGAGAUGGUACAAAAGUAGGAGGCUUUUAUCUUGCUCUGCUAAUAAUCCCUACAAAUUCAUGUCUCAAAAACAUUACCUUAUGUAUGGGAACUGCUGAGUCACAGCCUGAACCUCUGAUUAGUCACCUGAGGUGAGCAAUGAGUCAGCCCUGGGAGCACAGGUGAAAGCAAUUCACCUGUGCUGCAGGAAGGGGUGGAGCCUGGCUCCACCUCUCCUAGACCCAUUUAAGAGCUGACUACCAGUGGGGAAGGAUCUCUCUCUUUUCUCUCUUUGGAAGAUCCAUUCCAGUGGUCUUUCCUGAGCUAGCCCAUAACACAGGUAAGUAUUGUAUUUAUUCUCUUUGUCUCACUGUGCCUAACUCUCUUGCUUAUUUCAUUAUUAUAGCAUCUUAAUAUUAUUUGGUUAUAUAAUAUUCCUUUAUAUAAUUUUCAUUGAUUAUACACUUUACAUAAUCUAAUUUAUACAAAUGUAAUACCUUAGACAUUGCUGUGACUACUGCAACGGAAGGAGUGAUGCUGAUGGAGAACCCAGGAUGAAUCCCACCCUGCACUGCUCCCAUCUCACUGCAAACCAAAAAACUGGUGAUCAUAGCCCAAAAGGAUGCUGGUUCAUGGCCCUCUACAAUCAAUGAAAAACAGGCAUUUCCACUUGGCAGCUCAGGACCACUGGACACAUAAGCAAGGGGCCACAGACCUGGCAAUAGGCUGGAUAUCAUCUUUGAAACCUACUGCCAGCUUCAGAGGGGGCAGAACUUCCUCCAGCAGUGAGCUGAGUAGACUCUAACCAGCCAAAGCAGAUCCCUGUCUUGAUUGGAAAUCUUUAACUGAGGGGAUCUUGUAACAAGACAGAGAACACAGCUCAGAUGCAAAACAUAUUGAUCUAGACACAAACUCUUCCAAGAAGGAUCUGCAAUUUCAAUCUUUAAGCUCCUUCUGCAGAAUUGUUCCUCUUCUGAUGGUGCCCCUUUAACCAAACUACUCAACUUCUCCUUCCUUUAAAACUUCCUUUUAAGAUGUUUCCUCCACACAGCAUUCUUUUGUGAAAAUCUCUGCAGAGAUCACAAGGCACAGAGAGGUGCCUUGUAAUGCUUGUCACAAGAAAUUCCUCAAUAAACAAGUCAGUAUAGAUUCUGUGGCA